rnacentral:rRNA from 1 species
GAUGAACGCUGGCGGCGUGCCUAAUACAUGCAAGUCGAGCGAACAGAUAAGGAGCUUGCUCCUUUGACGUUAGCGGCGGACGGGUGAGUAACACGUGGAUAACCUACCUAUAAGACUGGGAUAACUUCGGGAAACCGGAGCUAAUACCGGAUAACAUAUUGAACCGCAUGGUUCAAUAGUGAAAGGCGGCUUUGCUGUCACUUAUAGAUGGAUCCGCGCCGUAUUAGCUAGUUGGUAAGGUAACGGCUUACCAAGGCAACGAUACGUAGCCGACCUGAGAGGGUGAUCGGCCACACUGGAACUGAGACACGGUCCAGACUCCUACGGGAGGCAGCAGUAGGGAAUCUUCCGCAAUGGGCGAAAGCCUGACGGAGCAACGCCGCGUGAGUGAUGAAGGUCUUCGGAUCGUAAAACUCUGUUAUCAGGGAAGAACAAAUGUGUAAGUAACUGUGCACAUCUUGACGGUACCUGAUCAGAAAGCCACGGCUAACUACGUGCCAGCAGCCGCGGUAAUACGUAGGUGGCAAGCGUUAUCCGGAAUUAUUGGGCGUAAAGCGCGCGUAGGCGGUUUUUUAGUCUGAUGUGAAAGCCCACGGCUCAACCGUGGAGGGUCAUUGGAAACUGAAAAACUUGAGUGCAGAAGAGGAAAGUGGAAUUCCAUGUGUAGCGGUGAAAUGCGCAGAGAUAUGGAGGAACACCAGUGGCGAAGGCGACUUUCUGGUCUGUAACUGACGCUGAUGUGCGAAAGCGUGGGGAUCAAACAGGAUUAGAUACCCUGGUAGUCCACGCCGUAAACGAUGAGUGCUAAGUGUUAGGGGGUUUCCGCCCCUUAGUGCUGCAGCUAACGCAUUAAGCACUCCGCCUGGGGAGUACGACCGCAAGGUUGAAACUCAAAGGAAUUGACGGGGACCCGCACAAGCGGUGGAGCAUGUGGUUUAAUUCGAAGCAACGCGAAGAACCUUACCAAAUCUUGACAUCCUUUGACCACUCUAGAGAUAGAGUUUUCCCCUUCGGGGGACAAAAUGACAGGUGGUGCAUGGUUGUCGUCAGCUCGUGUCGUGAGAUGUUGGGUUAAGUCCCGCAACGAGCGCAACCCUUAAGCUUAGUUGCCAUCAUUAAGUUGGGCACUCUAAGUUGACUGCCGGUGACAAACCGGAGGAAGGUGGGGAUGACGUCAAAUCAUCAUGCCCCUUAUGAUUUGGGCUACACACGUGCUACAAUGGACAAUACAAAGGGCAGCUAAACCGCGAGGUCAAGCAAAUCCCAUAAAGUUGUUCUCAGUUCGGAUUGUAGUCUGCAACUCGACUACAUGAAGCUGGAAUCGCUAGUAAUCGUAGAUCAGCAUGCUACGGUGAAUACGUUCCCGGGUCU